rnacentral:rRNA from 1 species
UACAGAGGGGGCAAGCGUUGUUCGGAAUUACUGGGCGUAAAGGGCGCGUAGGCGGCCUGCUAAGUCGAACGUGAAAUCCCCGGGCUCAACCCGGGAACUGCGUCCGAUACUGGUGGGCUUGAAUCCGGGAGAGGGAUGUGGAAUUCCAGGUGUAGCGGUGAAAUGCGUAGAUAUCUGGAGGAACACCGGUGGCGAAGGCGGCAUCCUGGACCGGUAUUGACGCUGAGGCGGCGAAAGCUAGGGGAGCAAACGGGG